GUGAAGAAUACUGAUACACCAAACUGAAGGAGAAGUGAACACCAGACACACACCUGAUGACAUUGCCGAGGGUGGUGAGGCUCAGGUUGAUGGCCGUGCCCUCUUUGAGUCUGUCGGCCUCCGACCCCGACGACCUCUGACGCUCACUGCCAGCCAGGUCCACCAGGUUGAUGUUGGACUGCUUUGUGAUGCUCUCUUUGGAGAAGAUCUGACAGGAAGUCACAGUAACAUCAAGGACAAAUGCCCGAAGAGUAUGGAAUUAGAUUUGUGCCAAAAGAAACAAACAAAACUUCUUAAAUGUCAAACAAAAACAGGAAUUUGAAAGAACAUAAAACUCAUUUCAAAAAUAAAGCUUAGAACUUGCAAUCAAAUAAUUUGUCAAAUAGUGUAAAAUAUUGGUGUUUUACUCUUCUAAUAAUGCAUUAUUUUGUUUAAAUCUAAUUCCGUAGAAGAGACCUGAGGACGGUCACCUGACAGAGAAAAACUGUGUCAAUGUCAUCCGCAGUGAUUUUUUUUUUUUUUUUACCUGUUUGAGCUGGAGGAUGAUGAGCAUGUGAGAGCGACUGCUGUUGGCGUUCAUGUGAGUGGCGGCAGUGGUUCGAGUCCUGGUCCCCUGCUCCAUCAGCUGCUCCACCUACAUUUGAAGCUUCACACUUUAACUUCAUUCCUCCAAACACAACACGGAAAAACACUUACACAGGAUACAGAAAUAUCACCAAACAUCCCUUGUAGCUAUUUUAUACAGAAGCCCUGAGAGGUCAGAAAAAGUACUCUGGUGUUCUAUUUUCAAUGUUUCUACUUUGAAAAAAAAAUGUUUGGUAGGUGAAUAUAAAAUAAAAAAACUGGUACGACAUUUUUUUCUUUUUUUUCCAUUUUCUGCAGGUAAAAAAAAAGGUUUUUUACUUGUGUAAUACUCGUUCUGGCCACAAGAGGGGGAAGUGCCUGACCACCACAUGUUCUACAUGGGAUUAAAAGCAUUUAUGUUUCCUUCCAGGGUUCACAAUGUUCUGUUGGACCUAAUGAAAUCUUUGGCCCUUGACCUGGUCAGCGUAUCGUCCCCCGGGCUCUUCAGGCACGAAGAGGCCACAGCGGUCCUGUGCGAAGCCGCUGUGGGACCAGUAGGCGUAGUCGAAGCAGAACGAGCGGCGGCUGUGGGAGUCCCGUGGGUCCUGGAUGGUGAUGGAGCUCGACACCAUGGAGACAAUACAGCGGCUGCCUGCAUCCCUCUCUCGCUGGAUGUGAGGACGGAGAGAACGAGGAUGAGAAGGGGGGAAUAAAAGAGAGGGAGCUACGUGAGGGUGCAAGUCUUCAUAACCACAUUUGUUAAAGUAAAAUGAGAGGAAGUGAAAGUCAGACUGUUUAAUUCCUCUUUAGAAGCACAGAGAGACUGACAGGAAUAUCUCAACAGCAGGG
rnacentral:lncRNA from 1 species